AGAGUUUGAUCCUGGCUCAGGAUGAACGCUGGCGGCGUGCCUAAUACAUGCAAGUCGGGCGAACGGACGAGAAGCUUGCUUCUCUGAUGUUAGCGGCGGACGGGUGAGUAACACGUGGAUAACCUACCUAUAAGACUGGGAUAACUUCGGGAAACCGGAGCUAAUACCGGAUAAUAUUUUGAACCGCAUGGUUUAAAAGUGAAAGACGGUCUUGCUGUCACUUAUAGAUGGAUCCGCGCUGCAUUAGCUAGUUGGUAAGGUAACGGCUUACCAAGGCAACGAUGCAUAGCCGACCUGAGAGGGUGAUCGGCCACACUGGAACUGAGACACGGUCCAGACUCCUACGGGAGGCAGCAGUAGGGAAUCUUCCGCAAUGGGCGAAAGCCUGACGGAGCAACGCCGCGUGAGUGAUGAAGGUCUUCGGAUCGUAAAACUCUGUUAUUAGGGAAGAACAUAUGUGUAAGUAACUGUGCACAUCUUGACGGUACCUAAUCAGAAAGCCACGGCUAACUACGUGCCAGCAGCCGCGGUAAUACGUAGGUGGCAAGCGUUAUCCGGAAUUAUUGGGCGUAAAGCGCGCGUAGGCGGUUUUUUAAGUCUGAUGUGAAAGCCCACGGCUCAACCGUGGAGGGUCAUUGGAAACUGGAAAACUUGAGUGCAGAAGAGGAAAGUGGAAUUCCAUGUGUAGCGGUGAAAUGCGCAGAGAUAUGGAGGAACACCAGUGGCGAAGGCGACUUUCUGGUCUGUAACUGACGCUGAUGUGCGAAAGGCGUGGGGAUCAAACAGGAUUAGAUACCCUGGUAGUCCAUGCCGUAAACGAUGAGUGCUAAGUGUUAGGGGGUUUCCGCCCCUUAGUGCUGCAGCUAACGCAUUAAGCACUCCGCCUGGGGAGUACGACCGCAAGGUUGAAACUCAAAGGAAUUGACGGGGACCCGCACAAGCGGUGGAGCAUGUGGUUUAAUUCGAAGCAACGCGAAGAACCUUACCAAAUCUUGACAUCCUUUGACAACUCUAGAGAUAGAGCUUUCCCCUUCGGGGGACAAAGUGACAGGUGGUGCAUGGUUGUCGUCAGCUCGUGUCGUGAGAUGUUGGGUUAAGUCCCGCAACGAGCGCAACCCUUAAGCUUAGUUGCCAUCAUUAAGUUGGGCACUCUAAGUUGACUGCCGGUGACAAACCGGAGGAAGGUGGGGAUGACGUCAAAUCAUCAUGCCCCUUAUGAUUUGGGCUACACACGUGCUACAAUGGACAAUACAAAGGGCAGCGAAACCGCGAGGUCAAGCAAAUCCCAUAAAGUUGUUCUCAGUUCGGAUUGUAGUCUGCAACUCGACUACAUGAAGCUGGAAUCGCUAGUAAUCGUAGAUCAGCAUGCUACGGUGAAUACGUUCCCGGGUCUUGUACACACCGCCCGUCACACCACGAG
rnacentral:rRNA from 1 species